UACGUAGGUGACCAGCGUUGUCCGGAUUUACUGGGCGUAAAGAGCGCGCAGGCGGUCGUUCAAGUCGAGUGUGAAAGCCCCCGGCUCAACUGGGGAGGGUCACUUGAUACUGAUCGACUCGAAGGCAGGAGAGGGAAGCGGAAUUCCCGGUGUAGUGGUGAAAUGCGUAGAUAUCAAGAGGAAUACCUGAGGUGAAGACGGGUUGCUAGGCCGACACUGACGCUGAGUGCGCGAAAGCCAGGGGAGCAAACGGG
rnacentral:rRNA from 1 species